UCCCCUCUCUCUCUCUCUCUCUCUCUUAAUAUUGUACCCUUUUAUGUAUAUAUUCCCUUUGGUCUCUUCGAAAUAUAUAGAAGCCAUUCUUCAACACACAAACCCAUUCUUCUCCAAACCCCCCAUACCCUUUUCUUCAUUUCCUUCAUCAACUCAUCAAAAAUGGAAGACGAUAAUUACAUUGACCAUCUCCAUUACCAAGACAAAUCAGAAGAAGAAGAAGAUGCAGAAGAGGCACUCUCUCUAUGCGACCUUCCACUAGACAAUACCCAUGACCAAGUCCACGAAUUCCACGACAUGUCGUCUAAGCACCUACAAGCUCGUCGUUCCUCCUCCGAUCAGUUAUUCGAGUUCUUCAGCGACAUCAGCUCCGACAGCUUCAUGUGUUCCGCCGAAGACAUCAUCGUCUGCGGGAAACUCAUACCCUUCAAACAACACAUGACCGAAGUCCCCAAGGCUCCUCGAAACACUAACGAUUCUCACAAGAAUAAGCAACCAUCUUUUCGAAGGCGGUCCGAGUCGCUUUCCGAGUUACAAAGCUCGGUGACAAGAUCGAGCAGCUCAAAAAACCAGAUCAUGAUGAGGAACAGCCGAUCAUUGGACUAUCGAAAGCUUCACCGGCAAUCUUCGAUGGUGUCGCCGACGCCUGGGGAGAUGGAGAGGAAUUCUUCGGUGAGGAGCGUUGGAAAAUCCGAUAAGGUCAAGAGUGGUAAUAAUAAGCCGAAGUGGUUUUUUCUUAUGUUCGGGAUUGUGAAGUUCCCGGCGGAGAUGGACCUCAACGACAUCAAGAACCGGCAGAUUCGGCGAAACCCGUCCACCACGAUGUUUCCACGACAAGCCGCUGCCGGGAAGGGCUCUUGGAGACUGCUCAAGGCAUUGAGCUGCAAGGACCAUGCAAGUGUUGCCGUAACGACGCCGUUUUGUACACAAGUGUGAGAGGCUCUACUUCUCGUCACGUGCCAUGCAUGUGCUGAGCCAUCAUAACUUUGUUCCCUUAACUCAUGAAUAGGAUUAUACGAUUGAGGUAUUAUUCUUUUUAUCAUACAAUGUAACAUGUUAUAUUAUCGAAUUGUCAAUUCGAAUCACAUCUUUAAACAAAAUCUUAUUUUAUUAACUAUUAAAGAUUGACAGUUUGAUAAUAUAAUAUGUUCGAUCGGUUGUAUGAUAAUAGAAUAUUUUCACUACAAUCAACAUGGAGUUUGGCUUGAUCAAGGUUUGAAUAUGAUAAUGAUUUUGAUUUGCAUGAGAGGGGCAAAAUGGUCACCGGAAGUUAUGGGUUUGCUUGGACGUGGGGAUAAAUUACUAUAAUUAUGGUUGAUGACGUUCCGUAGAAGCAAGGACUAAGUACAGUAGCAAAGCCAUGGUUGACGAUGGUGCCCUCUCUCACUCUAAGUGGUAAUUGAGGAUGAAGCAGGUUUUGGUUGUUAGGUGGCCGGUGCGCCCACAGAAAUGAAAUGAAUGAAAA